CAUCAACUAGUCGCUGACGUUGAUGUUCAAGUCUCCAAGACCAUUAAUGCCUCCUCACCCAAACGACAGUCAAUGAGGAGCUUUUGAAAACACCAUCUUCACAAGGCCCCUAUUGAUUCAUUACCAUGAAACAGCCUGGACGGCUCACGUGUAGCAUAACCUUUCUCAACCGAGGGAGCUGGACAUUCUUUGCAGCACACUGCCCAGGCCGACCACUGAUUCCUUUGUCUCCUGUGGGAGGCAUUGCAGUGCCCAGACAGUGGCUCCUGGGGGCGACAGAUGAGUCACCCGAGGCCGAUGGAAGCACAGCAUGGUGCUGAAUGGAAAGAAUGACGCUGAGUUUUGGACAAAGGAGGUCCACGGAGGCUGGAACAAUGAGUCGCAAGUCCUUGGAUGAGUAGCAUGGCAACCAAAAUGCAAGACAUGCCGUGAUGGUGAGGGCGCGCUGUGCGGUCUUCAGAAGCCCUGACCGAUGGGGUUGCUGCAGCGCUUGGCCGGAACUGGAGAUUUUUGCGCGGCGUGUGUCUUGGGAGGCUGGCCUUCGUUCCAAGACAUGUUAGCCUCUUUCGCAUUUGGAAUCCUAUGGACAACCCUCGCUUGGUCAGUGCGAAAACACACGGGUGCCACCGUGGGGACCAAAGGGACACCCUCUGACUUCACUGUUCCCUCUCACGCAUGACACUUCUCUCUGCAAAACUUGCUCCCUGGGAACCCCCAGAGAGCCAUGACACUUGCCCCUGGACAAUCCAAAUUCCAGGGGCAGAUUGGGAAUACAGGCCCCAGCCUAAAGGUCGGUGGAGGCAGGGAAAGAAACUUGGCCCCUGACUAAGUGUCCUCUGCCUCCUGGGUGGUCUUGGCUAUGUCACUCGCUCCCCGCCAUGUCUCCGUUGCUUCCCAAGCCUGUCCUGUCCUGGAAGGACUUACGGAGUAUCCGUGACUGUCAUUCUCACAACUGUGAUUUUAACAAGGCCAACCGUUCUGGGACCUGACAAAUACAUUAAAAAAAAA